GCGCCGUCUGAAGAAUCGCUUUCGCAGCUCACACACAGAAGGCUCUACCCGCCUCUCUCUUUCCAGCUGUGGGGAAAGUCCCCGGAGAUGCAGAGACAUGUCCUCGUUCGUCUGGUAAACCCCUGCCCUUAAGCACGGUGGGUUCGGGCGAGGGCGGCUGGAGGUUCUGUUCGUGGUUCUCGCUCUUCCAGCGGAGGUACGGCUCUUCCAUGCCAACUUUGCUGUCGGUCCCCGGAUGAUACGUUCGGCGAAGGCGCGGAAAAUGCGAAGAUAUGAGCAUUCUCGUCGCUCGUGCGCGUCGUCUGUGGGUCGACUACGGUUACUCAUAGAUGUAGUUAUGCGAUCGCGUGGACCUUCUAUCGAAGACACAACAACGGAAUGGGGCUUACUCUCGGUCGACG
rnacentral:RNase_MRP_RNA from 2 species